AAGAUUAAUACCGCAUAUUAUGGUUUUUCUGCAUGGGAAAGUCAUGAAAGGAGCAAUCCGCUGUAAGAUGGGCCCGCGGCGCAUUAGCUAGUUGGUGAGGUAAGGGCUCACCAAGGCGACGAUGCGUAGCCGACCUGAGAGGGUGAUCGGCCACAUUGGGACUGAGACACGGCCCAGACUCCUACGGGAGGCAGCAGUGGGGAAUAUUGCACAAUGGGGGAAACCCUGAUGCAGCAACGCCGCGUGAGUGAUGAGGGCCUUCGGGUUGUAAAGCUCUGUCUUCAGGGACGAUAAUGACGGUACCUGAGGAGGAAGCCACGGCUAACUACGUGCCAGCAGCCGCGGUAAUACGUAGGUGGCGAGCGUUAUCCGGAUUUACUGGGCGUAAAGGGAGCGUAGGCGGAUGAUUAAGUGGGAUGUGAAAUACCCGGGCUCAACUUGGGUGCUGCAUUCCAAACUGGUUAUCUAGAGUGCAGAAGAGGAGAGUGGAACUCCAUGUGUAGCGGUGAAAUGCGUAGA
rnacentral:rRNA from 1 species